rnacentral:lncRNA from 1 species
AACAAUGGUACAGUGUACGCUGGGAUGACGAAAACAGCGGAUAUUUCCGAGCCCAGAUUAUGAAGUUGUUUGUAACCAAAGAGGAGGCUGAUGCUUCCGCGGAAAGCUCGAGCAAGAGAUUUUCCUGCCCCCAAAUGCCUAUAGACAACAGUUCAGAAGGCGACACCGCAGCGAGUGGGGAAUCCUACAGAAAGCACAAAAGACAGAAACAAGUGCCAAAAUCUCGUGUGAAGGAUACCAAGGCACAGUUUAGGAAAAAACAGCUGGACCUUUUGUUUCCUCCUGAAGCAUGAAAGGGAGGAGAUUGUCUUCGGCAAGAAGUUGUGAAGCUGCGGAAGAUCUUCAAAGCAGAUUUCUUCAGCCACUCCUCGUCCAGAAG